CCAUCCUCCAAGGCUAAAUACUCCUGACUGACCGAUAGUGAACCAGUACCGUGAGGGAAAGGCGAAAAGAACCCCGGCGAGGGGAGUGAAAAAGAACCUGAAACCGUGUACGUACAAGCAGUGGGAGCACGCUUAGGCGUGUGACUGCGUACCUUUUGUAUAAUGGGUCAGCGACUUAUAUUCUGUAGCAAGGUUAACCGAAUAGGGGAGCCGAAGGGAAACCGAGUCUUAACUGGGCGUUAAGUUGCAGGGUAUAGACCCGAAACCCGGUGAUCUAGCCAUGGGCAGGUUGAAGGUUGGGUAACACUAACUGGAGGACCGAACCGACUAAUGUUGAAAAAUUAGCGGAUGACUUGUGGCUGGGGGUGAAAGGCCAAUCAAACCGGGAGAUAGCUGGUUCUCCCCGAAAGCUAUUUAGGUAGCGCCUCGUGAAUUCAUCUCCGGGGGUAGAGCACUGUUUCGGCAAGGGGGUCAUCCCGACUUACCAACCCGAUGCAAACUGCGAAUACCGGAGAAUGUUAUCACGGGAGACACACGGCGGGUGCUAACGUCCGUCGUGAAGAGGGAAACAACCCAGACCGCCAGCUAAGGUCCCAAAGUCAUGGUUAAGUGGGAAACGAUGUGGGAAGGCCCAGACAGCCAGGAUGUUGGCUUAGAAGCAGCCAUCAUUUAAAGAAAGCGUAAUAGCUCACUGGUCGAGUCGGCCUGCGCGGAAGAUGUAACGGGGCUAAACCAUGCACCGAAGCUGCGGCAGCGACGCUUAUGCGUUGUUGGGUAGGGGAGCGUUCUGUAAGCCUGCGAAGGUGUGCUGUGAGGCAUGCUGGAGGUAUCAGAAGUGCGAAUGCUGACAUAAGUAACGAUAAAGCGGGUGAAAAGCCCGCUCGCCGGAAGACCAAGGGUUCCUGUCCAACGUUAAUCGGGGCAGGGUGAGUCGACCCCUAAGGCGAGGCCGAAAGGCGUAGUCGAUGGGAAACAGGUUAAUAUUCCUGUACUUGGUGUUACUGCGAAGGGGGGACGGAGAAGGCUAUGUUGGCCGGGCGACGGUUGUCCCGGUUUAAGCGUGUAGGCUGGUUUUCCAGGCAAAUCCGGAAAAUCAAGGCUGAGGCGUGAUGACGAGGCACUACGGUGCUGAAGCAACAAAUGCCCUGCUUCCAGGAAAAGCCUCUAAGCAUCAGGUAACAUCAAAUCGUACCCCAAACCGACACAGGUGGUCAGGUAGAGAAUACCAAGGCGCUUGAGAGAACUCGGGUGAAGGAACUAGGCAAAAUGGUGCCGUAACUUCGGGAGAAGGCACGCUGAUAUGUAGGUGAAGUCCCUUGCGGAUGGAGCUGAAAUCAGUCGAAGAUACCAGCUGGCUGCAACUGUUUAUUAAAAACACAGCACUGUGCAAACACGAAAGUGGACGUAUACGGUGUGACGCCUGCCCGGUGCCGGAAGGUUAAUUGAUGGGGUCAGCGCAAGCGAAGCUCUUGAUCGAAGCCCCGGUAAACGGCGGCCGUAACUAUAACGGUCCUAAGGUAGCGAAAUUCCUUGUCGGGUAAGUUCCGACCUGCACGAAUGGCGUAAUGAUGGCCAGGCUGUCUCCACCCGAGACUCAGUGAAAUUGAACUCGCUGUGAAGAUGCAGUGUACCCGCGGCAAGACGGAAAGACCCCGUGAACCUUUACUAUAGCUUGACACUGAACAUUGAGCCUUGAUGUGUAGGAUAGGUGGGAGGCUUUGAAGUGUGGACGCCAGUCUGCAUGGAGCCGGCCUUGAAAUACCACCCUUUAAUGUUUGAUGUUCUAACGUGGACCCGUGAUCCGGGUUGCGGACAGUGUCUGGUGGGUAGUUUGACUGGGGCGGUCUCCUCCUAAAGAGUAACGGAGGAGCACGAAGGUUGGCUAAUCCUGGUCGGACAUCAGGAGGUUAGUGCAAUGGCAUAAGCCAGCUUGACUGCGAGCGUGACGGCGCGAGCAGGUGCGAAAGCAGGUCAUAGUGAUCCGGUGGUUCUGAAUGGAAGGGCCAUCGCUCAACGGAUAAAAGGUACUCCGGGGAUAACAGGCUGAUACCGCCCAAGAGUUCAUAUCGACGGCGGUGUUUGGCACCUCGAUGUCGGCUCAUCACAUCCUGGGGCUGAAGUAGGUCCCAAGGGUAUGGCUGUUCGCCAUUUAAAGUGGUACGCGAGCUGGGUUUAGAACGUCGUGAGACAGUUCGGUCCCUAUCUGCCGUGGGCGCUGGAGAACUGAGGGGGGCUGCUCCUAGUACGAGAGGACCGGAGUGGACGCAUCACUGGUGUUCGGGUUGUCAUGCCAAUGGCACUGCCCGGUAGCUAAAUGCGGAAGAGAUAAGUGCUGAAAGCAUCUAAGCACGAAACUUGCCCCGAGAUGAGUUCUCCCUGACCCUUUAAGGGUCCUGAAGGAACGUUGAAGACGACGACGUUGAUAGGCCGGGUGUGUAAGCGCAGCGAUGCGUUGAGCUAACCGGUACUAAUGAACCGUGAGGCUUAACC
rnacentral:rRNA from 1 species